CCUACGGGGUGCUGCAGUGGGGAAUAUUGGACAAUGGGCGAAAGCCUGAUCCAGCCAUGCCGCGUGUGUGAAGAAGGCCUUCGGGUUGUAAAGCACUUUCAGUGGGGAAGAAAGCCUUGGGGCUAAUACCCUCGAGGAAGGACAUCACCCACAGAAGAAGCACCGGCUAACUCCGUGCCAGCAGCCGCGGUAAUACGGAGGGUGCGAGCGUUAAUCGGAAUUACUGGGCGUAAAGCGCGCGUAGGCGGUCUGAUAAGCCGGUUGUGAAAGCCCCGGGCUCAACCUGGGAACGGCAUCCGGAACUGUCAGGCUAGAGUGCAGGAGAGGAAGGUAGAAUUCCCGGUGUAGCGGUGAAAUGCGUAGAGAUCGGGAGGAAUACCAGUGGCGAAGGCGGCCUUCUGGACUGACACUGACGCUGAGGUGCGAAAGCGUGGGUAGCAAACAGGAUUAGAACCCCAGUAGUC
rnacentral:rRNA from 1 species